rnacentral:tRNA from 1 species
UGGGAUAUAGCUCAGUGGUAGAGCACAUGCUUAGCAUGCACAAGGUCCUGGGUUCAAUCUCCAGGAUCUCCA